CCGGUGGAGUUGGCGGGGCACCAGCAUUCGUCCCUGCCGAUGCAGCGGCCUCCGUUCAGGCAGGGGAUCUGGCAGAAAUCUGCAACAUCAACCCUCAAGUCUCAGGUUGUGGGACAUCAAGAGAAGGGUCUGGUGCCAUGUUUGCCCCAGGCUGGUCCAAAGAAGCAGUAUCCCCCCGAUUAAGGACAGUAGAGGUCUGGUAACAGAAGAAGGCAAGUCUCAAUGAGAAGGUGACCACAGCCCCCAGGAGAUGCUCCAUCUACUAUCAGCCUUGGAAGAACCGCUGCAAUUUCAUCAAAGGACAGAGGUUCCCAAACUCACCCAGCACAAGAAUGGAACUUGCUAUCUUUCUGGGACUGUUCCAGGGAAGUCCUGGCCAAGCCUCCACAAUGGACCAAAAAGUCAUCUCUAGACUUCAGGAUUUCAUGAAUCCGUAAGAUUUUGGAACAAAAUUGGGGGAACAACAUAAAGUCGCUUUUUAUUUAGGUUGCUAAGACUUUAAGACAAACACACACAAAACUGCCAAUCACUACCACCAUAAUUUCACGAAAGAAAAGACAUUUCAGAGCCAAAAAAGAAACGUUUGAAUAAGCCUAACUUCAUGGAAAUCUCACCAAAUGACUUUAUUUUCUUCAUUUCUUUAUGGAUCAUGAAAUCCCCAUCACAGGCCAGCACAGAGCCAAGAGACAGCCACCAGAUCCACCACAGUCUGUUCUCAACUGUGGACUCUGGGCUUUUCAACCAAGAUGAGGAAAAAUUCUCAUCCCAGUGGCCGGGGUCUUCAGGCCCACAAGAAAGCUGCCUGGGCAGUCUGUACCCAUAAUGAUGCCACUUACUGAAAUGUGCAAGGUGUGCCCACACCCUGCCCGACACACUAAGGUUUCCCAACAGCGAUGGGAAGACAAGUGGGCGAGGAGCUCUGUGCCCUCUACCCCAUUCACCCUCACCCUAGCCUGGCUGCUCUCCUCUAUUUACUUCAUAAAUCGGGCUUCCAAAAACAGCUGGCCCAUCAUAUCCAUGGGUUCUGCCUCUGCAGAUUCAACCAACUGUGAAUGGAAAAUAUUUGGGGGGAAAACCCCCAAAAAUAGCAAUCAACAAUGAAAAAUAAUACAAAUAAAAAUUAUAUAGUAUGACAACUAUUAGCAUUUGCACUGUAUUAGGUAUUAUAAGUAAUCUAGAGAAGAUUUAAAGUAUAUGGGAGCAUGUGCGUAGCUUAUAUGCAAACAUUAUGUCAUUUUAUAUCAGAGACUUGAACAUCCAUGAAUUUUGGUAUUCACAGGGGUCCUGGAACAAAUUCCCUGUGGAUAUCGAGGGAUGACUGUACUAUUUUGUUUGGAAAGGCUCUUGCUGCUAAAAAAAAUUUAAGAGUGUUACUAAAGAUGCAUAGAAUAUGCCUGUAAUCCUAGCACUUUGGGAGGCUGAGGCAGGCAGAUCACUUGAGGUCAGGAGUUCGAGACCAGCCUGGCCAACAUGGUGAAACCUGUCUCUACUAAAAAUACAAAAAUUAGCCGGGCGUGGUGGUGGGCACCUGUAGUCUCAGCUACUCAGGAGGCUGAGGCAGGAGAAUCACUUGAACCCGGGAGGCAGAGGUUGCAGUGAGCCGAGAUCACGCCAUUGCAUUCCAGCCUGGGUGACAGAGCAAGUCUCCCUCUCAAAGAAAAAAAAAGAUGCAUAGAAUAGUUGUAAUUAUCAUUAUGAACAUGAAGCCAGAUAUUUUAUAUACAUCAUCUUAUCUAUGUUAUUUUAGUGAAUGAAAAAACUGAGUUGCAGAAUAUAUGGAUAGUAUGCUUCUAGUUUUGUGUUUUAAGAAAAGCUUUUCUCUCUCUCUUCCCCUACAGAUGUUUAUAUAAGCAUAGGAAAAGGCCGGAAGAUCUGUAAAUAGUGGCCACUCUUUAAGAAUGAGAGUGUCUGUGUGUGUGUACCUCCUAUUUUAAACUUUAUCAUUUCAAUAUUUUUGAAAUUUUUACAAUAAAUAUGCAUCACAUGGAA